rnacentral:rRNA from 1 species
CAUGGUUGUCGUCAGCUCGUGUCGUGAGAUGUGGGUUAAGUCCCGCAACGAGCGCAACCCCUAUUGUUAGUUGCCAUCAUUCAGUUGGGCACUCUAGCGAGACUGCCGGUAAUAAACCGGAGGAAGGUGGGGAUGACGUCAAAUCAUCAUGCCCCUUAUGACCUGGGCUACACACGUGCUACAAUGGUUGGUACAACGAGUUGCGAGUCGGUGACGGCGAGCUAAUCUCUUAAAGCCAAUCUCAGUUCGGAUUGUAGGCUGCAACUCGCCUACACGAAGUCGGAAUCGCUAGUAAUCGCGGAUCAGCACGCCGCGGUGAAUACGUUCCCGGGCCUU